AGAAGGGCCAGGCCCAGGCAAUGAUUCAUUAACAAGGACUUCCUGGGGAUAUGUGCUGGGGACAUGGGUGAGCAGAGCAGACUGGCCUCUGUCCUCCAGGAGCAGUCAACAGGAUGGCCAGAUGGACAGAGGAGGCCUAUUUCCCCUCUCCCUACCCCCACUUUCCCUUCUCACUGUCCUUUUCACUGUUUUCACUGGGCUGGAGAGAGAGGACAUCUCCUGGGGACAUCUCCUGGCAUCUCCUGGGGACAGCUUCUGGGGAUAAGCCAAAGCCUCCACCACCUGGAGGACUACAGUGGAGCCCCACUCACCUCCCGAUCAGGGAUCACAGAACUCUGGCCCGCCCCUGCAGGAGGCCUGGCCCUGGCGGCGGCACCUCUCGGUCCCCGCGGUAACUCUUGCGCAUGGGUCCCAGGUCCAUGGCAGCACUGCGACCACACAGGUGACUGAGGUAGCCUGGCCACUCGGCAGGUCGCCCGAACGUCGCCGUGACGCCCCGCAGCCAGCACGUCAUGGGGGGCCGCCGGCCACGUGACCCGGCUGUGGCCCGACACUGGGUUCCUUUGAGUUCGGAACCAAUUUCUCACCCUGGACUUCUACCCCGGGGAAGGAAGGAUUUGCCAGUCGCCCAACCAAGCUAACAGGUCCUAAGUCCUCGGAGCCAAUGAGUUUC
rnacentral:lncRNA from 1 species